AUGCACCACACACCACACACGCACCUCACACACACCACACACACCACACACGCACCACAUACCCCCCACCGCACACACCGCACACCUCACACACACACCACACACCACACACACAUACACAUCACACACCACACAGACCACACACACACCACAGACACCACACACACCACACACACCCCACAUACCACACACACGCCACACAUCAUUAAUAAUAAUUCCCCAAUAACCUCACACACCACACACGCACCACACACACACUACACCCCACACACACCACACAUGCACCACACACCACACACGCACCACACACGCACCUCACACACACACACCACACACACUCCACAUACCCCCACCCACACACCGAGACACCACACAAUACACCACACACAUACACAUCACACACCACACAGACCACACACACCCACACACACCACCAGACACCACACACCACACACACCCCACAUACCACACACACGCCACACAUCACACACACCCCACACAACCACACACCACACACGACCACACACACACUACACCCCACACACACACCACACAUGCACCACACACCACACACGCACCACACGCACCACACACACCACACACGCACCACAUACCCCCCACCGCACACACCGCACACCACACACACACCACACACAUACACAUCACACACCACACAGACCACACACACCCACACACCACAGACACCACACACACCACACACCACACCCCACAUACACACCACACACAGACACCACACUCACCACACACACCACACACCCCACAUACACACCACACACACGCACCACACACCACAUACGCACCGCACCACACACCACCACACAACCACACAACACACACCACACAACCACACACACACCACAGACACACCACACACCCCAUAUACACACCACACACACGCCACACACCACACAACCAUACACACACCACACACCACACACACACUACACCCACACACCACACACAGACACCACACUCAGCACACACAAUACACACCACACACACACACCACACGCACCACACACACCACACGCACCACACACACUACACACAACCACACACCACACACACCCCACACACCACACCACAUGCACCACACACACCACACACGCACCACACACCCCACACACACCACACAGACCCCACACACCCACACCACACACACACAGACACACCACACCCACCCACACACCACACCCCACAUGCACACCACACACCACACGCAUGCCACACACCCCACACCACACACGCACCACACACCACACACACUACACACCACACACCACAGCACAUGCACACCACACACGCACCACACACCACACACCACACAUGCCACACACACACCACACACCGCAUACACAUCACACCACACACCAUACACAUCACACACCACACCACACACGCCACACAUGCGCCACACACACCACACACACACAAAUAUACACACCACACAAUAAUUCACACAAUAAUAAACAAUUCACACACAAUAAUCAAGUAUAUCACCAUACACAAUAA
rnacentral:lncRNA from 1 species